UCGGGAAUUUUGGGCAAUGGGGGAAACCCUGACCCAGCAACGCCGCGUGAAGGAUGAAGUAUUUCGGUAUGUAAACUUCGAAAGAAUAGGAAGAAUAAAUGACGGUACUAUUUAUAAGGUCCGACUAACUACGUGCCAGCAGCCGCGGUAAUACGUAGGGACCAAGCGUUGUUCGGAUUUACUGGGCGUAAAGGGCGCGUAGGCGGCAUGACAAGUCACUUGUGAAAUCUCUGGGCUUAACCCAGAACGGCCAAGUGAUACUGUCGCGCUAGAGUGCAGAAGGGGCAAUCGGAAUUCUUGGUGUAGCGGUGAAAUGCGUAGAUAUCAAGAGGAACACCUGAGGUGAAGACGGGUUGCUGGGCUGACACUGACGCUGAGGCGCGAAAGCCAGGGGAGCAAACGGGAUUAGAUACCCAAGUAGUCCCUGAGCGGGCUGGCAAGGCGCAU
rnacentral:rRNA from 1 species